rnacentral:rRNA from 1 species
AUUGAACGCUGGCGGCAGGCCUAACACAUGCAAGUCGAACGGUAACAGGAAGAUGCUUGCUUCUUUGCUGACGAGUGGCGGACGGGAGAGUCAUGCCUGGGAAACUUCCUGAUGGAGGGGGAUAACUACUGGAAACGGUACCCAAUACCGCAUAACGUCGCAAGACCAAAGUGGGGGACCUUCGGGCUUCUUGCCAUCGGAUGUGCCCAGUCGGGAUGAGCUAGUAGGUGGGGUAACGGCUCACCGUGGCGACGCACCCUAGCUGGUCUGAACGGAUGACCCGCCACACUGGAAGUGAGACACGGUCCAGACACCGGCGGGAGGCAGCAGUGGGGAAUAUUGCACGAUGGGCGAGAGCCGGAUGCAGGCAUGCGGGGGGUAGGAAGAAGGCGUUCGGGUUGGAAAGUGCUUACAGCGGUGAGGAAGUGAGGAACGUUAAUACCUGAGCACAUUGACGUUACCGGAAGAAGAAGCACCGGCUAACUCCGUG